rnacentral:rRNA from 1 species
UACGUAGGUGACCAGCGUUGUCCGGAUUUACUGGGCGUAAAGAGCGCGCAGGCGGUCGUUCAAGUCGAGUGUGAAAGCCCCCGGCUCAACUGGGGAGGGUCACUCGAUACUGAUCGACUUGAAGGCAGGAGAGGGAAGCGGAAUUCCCGGUGUAGUGGUGAAAUGCGUAGAUAUCGGGAGGAACACCAGUGGCGAAGGCGGCUUUCUGGCCUGUUCUUGACGCUGAGGCGCGAAAGCCAGGGGAGCGAACGGG